UACGUAGGGGGGCUAGCGUUGUCCGGAAUCAUUGGGCGUAAAGCGCGUGUAGGCGGUUCGGUAAGUCCGCUGUGAAAGUCGGGGGCUCAACCCUCGAAUGCCGGUGGAUACUGUCGGACUAGAGUGCGGAAGAGGCGAGUGGAAUUCCUGGUGUAGCGGUGAAAUGCGCAGAUAUCAGGAGGAACACCAAUUGCGAAGGCAGCUCGCUGGGACGUUACUGACGCUGAGACGCGAAAGCGUGGGGAGCAAACAGG
rnacentral:rRNA from 1 species